GGUCGACGAUUCCUACGGGAGGCAGCAGUGGGGAAUAUUGCGCAAUGGGCGAAAGCCUGACGCAGCCACGCCGCGUGUGCGAUGAAGGUCUUCGGAUCGUAAAGCACUGUGGGGGGAGAAGAACAAAGCUGGUGAAGAGCCAGCCCUGACGGUAUCCCCUUAGCAAGCACCGGCUAACUCCGUGCCAGCAGCCGCGGUAAUGCGGAGGGUGCAAACGUUGCUCGGAAUCACUGGGCGUAAAGCGCACGUAGGCGGCCUUGUAAGUUGGGUGUGAAAGCCCUGGGCUCAACCCAGGAAGUGCAUCCAAAACUGCAUGGCUUGAGUACCGGAGGGGUUCAGAGAAUUCCUGGUGUAGAGGUGAAAUUCGUAGAUAUCAGGAGGAAUACCAGUGGCGAAGGCGCUGAACUGGACGGUAACUGACGCUGAGGUGCGAAAGCGUGGGUAGCAAACAGGAUUAGAUACCCUGGUAGUCCACGCCGUAAACGAUGAGUGCUAGGCGGUGGGAGAUUUUGACCCUCUCGCUGUCGAAGCUAACGCGUUAAGCACUCCGCCUGGGGAGUACGGUCGCAAGACUAAAACUCAA
rnacentral:rRNA from 1 species